AGUCGAACGAGAAUCUGUGGAAAGAGGAUUCGUCCAAUUGAAGCAGAGGACAGUGGCGGACGGGUGAGUAACGCGUGAGGAACCUGCCUUUCAGAGGGGGACAACAGUUGGAAACGACUGCUAAUACCGCAUGACGCAUAGGGGUCGCAUGAUCUUUAUGCCAAAGAUUUAUCGCUUCAAGAUGGCCUCGCGUCUGAUUAGCUAGUUGGCGGGGUAACGGCCCACCAAGGCGACGAUCAGUAGCCGGACUGAGAGGUUGAACGGCCACAUUGGGACUGAGAUACGGCCCAGACUCCUACGGGAGGCAGCAGUGGGGAAUAUUGGGCAAUGGGCGCAAGCCUGACCCAGCAACGCCGCGUGAAGGAAGAAGGCUUUCGGGUUGUAAACUUCUUUUAAGAGGGAAGAGCAGAAGACGGUACCUCUAGAAUAAGCCACGGCUAACUACGUGCCAGCAGCCGCGGUAAUACGUAGGUGGCAAGCGUUGUCCGGAUUUACUGGGUGUAAAGGGCGUGUAGCCGGGUCUGCAAGUCAGAUGUGAAAUCCAUGGGCUCAACCCAUGAACUGCAUUUGAAACUGUAGAUCUUGAGUGUCGGAGGGGCAAUCGGAAUUCCUAGUGUAGCGGUGAAAUGCGUAGAUAUUAGGAGGAACACCAGUGGCGAAGGCGGAUUGCUGGACGAUAACUGACGGUGAGGCGCGAAAGUGUGGGGAGCAAACAGGAUUAGAUACCCUGGUAGUCCACACUGUAAACGAUGAAUACUAGGUGUGCGGGGACUGACCCCCUGCGUGCCGCAGUAAACACAAUAAGUAUUCCACCUGGGGAGUACGAUCGCAAGGUUG
rnacentral:rRNA from 1 species